rnacentral:misc_RNA from 1 species
CCGAGUUUACAACUCCCAAACCCCUGUGAACAUACCACUUGUUGCCUCGGCGGAUCAGCCCGCUCCCGGUAAAACGGGACGGCCCGCCAGAGGACCCCUAAACUCUGUUUCAAUAUGUAACUUCUGAGUAAAACCAUAAAUAAAUCA